rnacentral:rRNA from 1 species
GAUGAACGCUGGCGGCGUGCUUAACACAUGCAAGUCGAACGAUGAAGCCCAGCUUGCUGGGUGGAUUAGUGGCGAACGGGUGAGUAACACGUGAGUAACCUGCCCUUGACUCUGGGAUAAGCCCGGGAAACUGGGUCUAAUACCGGAUAGGAGCGCCUGUCGCAUGACGGGUGCUGGAAAGAUUUUUCGGUCAUGGAUGGACUCGCGGCCUAUCAGCUUGUUGGUGAGGUAAUGGCUCACCAAGGCGACGACGGGUAGCCGGCCUGAGAGGGUGACCGGCCACACGGGGACUGGGACACGGCCAAGACUCCUCCGGGGGGCAGGGGGGGGGAAUAUUGCCCAAGGGGCGGAGGCCUGAUGCAGGGACGCCGGGUGGGGGAUGACGGCCUUCGGGUUGGAAACCUUUUUCAGUAGGGAAGAAGCGGAAGUGACGGUACCGGCAAAAGAAGCACCGGCUAAUUACGG